GGAGUCCUGGUAUGUUAACACUUCCUAAACCCAUGUGAACCUACCUUUGUUGCCUCGGCAGGUCUGCAACUUACCCUGAGGGUACCUACCCUGUAGGUACCUUACCCGGUAGUUGCGGGCAUAACCUGCCGGUGGUCUACUAAACUCUGUUUACUAUGUCAUUCUGAAUAAUAUAACUAAAUAAGUUAAAACUUUCAACAACGGAUCUCUUGGUUCUGGCAUCGAUGAAGAACGCAGCGAAAUGCGAUAAGUAAUGUGAAUUGCAGAAUUCAGUGAAUCAUCGAAUCUUUGAACGCACAUUGCGCCCAUUAGUAUUCUAGUGGGCAUGCCUGUUCGAGCGUCAUUUCAACCCUUAAGCCCUGUUGCUUAGCGUUGGGAGCCUACAGAUACCCUCUGUAGUUCCUUAAAGUUAGUGGCGGAGUCGGUUUCACACUCUAGACGUAGUAAAUUUUAUCUCGCCUAUAGAUGAGCCGGUCCCUUGCCGUAAAACCCCCUAAUUUCUAAAGGUUGACCUCGGAUCAGGUAGGAAUACCCGCUGAACUUAAGCAUAUCAAUAAGCCGGAGGAA
rnacentral:rRNA from 1 species